rnacentral:rRNA from 1 species
AGCAGCCGCGGUAAUUCCAGCUCCAAUAGCGUAUAUUAAAGUUGUUGCAGUUAAAAAGCUCGUAGUUGAACUUCGGGGUUUACCCAUUGGUCAGGCUUAAUUGUCUGUACUGGUGAGCUGAAUCUCUACCUUCUGAGGAACUUUCAUGCCAUUUAUUUGGUGUGAUGGGAAAUCAGGACUGUUACUUUGAAAAAAUUAGAGUGUUUAAAGCAGGCUAACGUCUGAAUACAUUAGCAUGGAAUAAUGAAAUAGGACGGACUGAUUCUAUUUCGUUGGUUUCUAGGAUCACCGUAAUGAUUAAUAGGGAUAGUUGGGGGCAUUAGUAUUCAAUUGUCAGAGGUGAAAUUCUUGGAUUUAUUGAAGACUAACUACUGCGAAAGCAUUUGCCAAGGAUGUUUUCAUUAAUCAAGAACGAAAGUUAGGGGAUCGAAGAAGAUCAGAUACCGUCGUAGUCUUAACCAUAAACUAUGCCGACUAGGGAUCGGACGAAGUUAAUUUUAUAAUGACGCGUUCGGCACCUUACG